GAUGAACGCUGGCGGCGUGCCUAAUACAUGCAAGUCGAGCGAACAGACGAGGAGCUUGCUCCUUCGACGUUAGCGGCGGACGGGUGAGUAACACGUAGGUAACCUACCUAUAAGACUGGGAUAACUUCGGGAAACCGGAGCUAAUACCGGAUAAUAUUUCGAACCGCAUGGUUCGAUAGUGAAAGAUGGCUUUGCUAUCACUUAUAGAUGGACCUGCGCCGUAUUAGCUAGUUGGUAAGGUAACGGCUUACCAAGGCAACGAUACGUAGCCGACCUGAGAGGGUGAUCGGCCACACUGGAACUGAGACACGGUCCAGACUCCUACGGGAGGCAGCAGUAGGGAAUAUUCCGCAAUGGGCGAAAGCCUGACGGAGCAACGCCGCGUGAGUGAUGAAGGUCUUCGGAUCGUAAAACUCUGUUAUUAGGGAAGAACAAACGUGGAAGUAACUGUGCACGUCUUGACGGUACCUAAUCAGAAAGCCACGGCUAACUACGUG
rnacentral:rRNA from 1 species